GGCCCAUUAGCUCAGUUGGUUAAAGCGUUGUGCUAAUAACACAAAGGUCGCGGGUUCGAUCCCCACAUGGGCCA
rnacentral:tRNA from 1 species